rnacentral:rRNA from 1 species
GACGAACGCUGGCGGCGUGCUUAACACAUGCAAGUCGAGCGAUGAAGCACCUUCGGGUGUGAAUUAGCGGCGAACGGGUGAGGAACACGUGAGAAAUCUGCCUUCAACUCUGGGAUAACUCCGUGAAAACGGGGCUAAUACCGGAUAUGAAACCUGCGGGCAUCCGCGGGUUUGGAAAGUUUUACGGUUGAAGAUGAUCUCGCGGCCUAUCAGCUUUGUGGUGAGGUAAUGGCUCACCAAGGUGACGACGGGUAGCCGGCCUGAGAGGGCGACCGGCCACACUGGGACUGAGACACGGCCCAGACUCCUACGGGAGGCAGCAGUGGGGAAUAUUGGGCAAUGGAGGAAACUCUGACCCAGCGACGCCGCGUGCGGGAUGAAGGCCUUCGGGUUGUAAACCGCUUUCAGCAGGGAAGAAGCGAAAGUGACGGUACCUGCAGAAGAAGCACCGGCUAACUAUGUGCCAGCAGCCGCAGUAA